rnacentral:rRNA from 1 species
CAUAGCUUCUAGAAUCCAUAAGAAGUAACGCCUGCCCGGUGUGAUAAUAAACGGCUGCAUAGCAUUAAAGUAGCGUAAUAAUUUGUUCCUUGAUUGGGGACUUGAAUGAAUGGAAUAACGGGGGUUGACUGUCUCCUUCAAUUUCAUAGAAUUUUAUGAUUAAGUGAAAAAUCUUAAAUAGCUGAGGAGGACGAUAAGACCCUAUAGAAUUUUAUAACAUGCUAGAGCUUAUGCUCUUAAGUUAUUUUGUUGGGGCAACAAAGGGGGUAAUAAAACCCCUUAAGAGAGUUUGUACUAUAGUACAAUUACAAUAUCCUAUAAUAGAAUUAAUAAAAAUUACCUUAGGGAUAACAGCACAAUAUCUCCCAGAGAGACCUAAUUGAAGGGAGAGUUUGUGACCUCGAUGUUGGACUAAGAUAACUUUUAAGUGCAGAAGCUUAAGAGAGUGGGCCUGUCCGGCCCUUAAAAUCUUACAUGAUCUGAGUUCAA